UGGGGAAUAUUGCACAAUGGGGGGAACCCUGAUGCAGCCAUGCCGCGUGAAUGAAGAAGGCCUUCGGGUUGUAAAGUUCUUUCGGUGACGAGGAAGGUUGGUAUGUUAAUAGCAUAUCAAAUUGACGUUAAUCACAGAAGAAGCACCGGCUAACUCCGUGCCAGCAGCCGCGGUAAUACGGGGGGUGCGAGCGUUAAUCGGAAUAACUGGGCGUAAAGGGCACGCAGGCGGUGACUUAAGUGAGAUGUGAAAGCCCCGAGCUUAACUUGGGAAUUGCAUUUCAUACUGGGUCGCUAGAGUACUUUAGGGAGGGGUAGAAUUCCACGUGUAGCGGUGAAAUGCGUAGAGAUGUGGAGGAAUACCGAAGGCGAAGGCAGCCCCUUGGGGAUGUACUGACGCUCAUGUGCGAAAGCGUGGGGAGCAAACAGGAUUAGAUACCCUGGUAGUCCACGCUGUAAACGAUGUCGAUUUGGGGAUUGGGCUUUGAGCUUGGUGCCCGUAGCUAACGUGAUAAAUCGACCGCCUGGGGAGUACGGCCGCAAGGUUA
rnacentral:rRNA from 1 species